UGGCCUGAUACGAGCCGAUCGAUGCAUAUUGGCGAACACAGUGCAUCGAUAAAGUUCUCGAUACAAGAUGGAAACCGAUAUUUACAAGACUGGUUUCAUGGGCUGCUGCAGAGAAGGAUAUGGUUUUUUACAGAAUAUACCAAGCAUGUGAACUACAUAUUACAAGUUUUUUAUAGGUCUUCCUGCAGGGCUCACAUAUAGGGAUCUAGUUCACAUAGAGAUAAGACUUAAAUGGGGUUGUUGAGAUAGUGGCAAAGGCUGCGGUUCUCAUGGAGGUAGUCAUGGUGUCGUUUUUUACAGAAUGUUGGAGUUAAAUGUGUAUACUUAUGAGCUCUGGAUACAACUAAAGAACAUCUUGCUGAUGUCAACUUUCAAGGGAGUUCAGGUCUGGGAUUUCCUUUGAACUUAAAGAACGGGAGCAUAUAUGUUCACAUGGAGAACAAAGAAUCCGAUACUCAUCUAAAAAUUUGGGAAAGGAAAUGUUAUUGCUUCUAGAACAAAACUUUAAAAGGUUCACUUAGUUUGCUUUUCUCGUAAUGUGGCAGCCAAGUUAAAAGCUUGGAAAUGUUCAGA